GACGAACGCUGGCGGCGUGCUUAACACAUGCAAGUCGAACGGAAAGGCCCUGCUUUUGUGGGGUGCUCGAGUGGCGAACGGGUGAGUAACACGUGAGUAACCUGCCCUUGACUUUGGGAUAACUUCAGGAAACUGGGGCUAAUACCGGAUAGGAGCUCCUGCUGCAUGGUGGGGGUUGGAAAGUUUCGGCGGUUGGGGAUGGACUCGCGGCUUAUCAGCUUGUUGGUGGGGUAGUGGCUUACCAAGCCUUUGCCGGGUAGCCGGCCUGAGAGGGUGACCGGCAACAUUGGGACUGAGAUACGGCCAGGACUCCUACGGGAGGCAGCAGUGGGGAAUAUUGCACAAUGGGCGGAAGCCUGAUGCAGCAACGCCGCGUGCGGGAGGACGGCCUUCGGGUGGUAAACCGCUUUCGCCUGUGACGAAGCGUGAGUGACGGUAAUGGGUAAAGAAGCACCGGCUAACUACGUG
rnacentral:rRNA from 1 species